CUUUUCUUUUUUUUUUUUCUUUUUUUCUUUUAAUUGUACAUACUAUUUAGUAAGACUAAUUAAUACUAAUGUGUCUAUGGUCAUUUAGACAACUAGUGGUAUUCCUCAGUGCUUGAUUAGAUGAAUUGGAAACCCUAAAAAAAUGACUCCCUCUUUUUUUCGGCUGUUAUUUGUUGGAGGGAGUAGGAAAGAAGAAUCAGAAUUUCUUCAUUUUUUGAGACCUCAGCUUUAACAGCCUGGCUGGCGAUAUUCUAAGCUCCUUUGAAAGCCUUGCAAGAGUGGAUUUCAUGUAGUUUUGCACUGAAGAAUCAAAUGCUGGUUGACAGAUUGAAGUAAAUGUUAAAAUCAUUUGUUUUCAGAUCUUUGCAGAUGAAGUGAUGGAGCUGGUAGAGCUUGAUAAUCUCAAAGAUGCAAUAGUGGGCCUCCCAGGGAUUACAGGACUGUCGACAGAACAAAGGAAGAGGUUGACAAUAGCCGUGGAGC